GAUGAACGCUAGCUACAGGCUUAACACAUGCAAGUCGAGGGGUAACGAGAGGAAAGCUUGCUUUCCUUGUUGACGACCGGCGCACGGGUGAGUAACGCGUAUCCAACCUGCCCCCAACUAGGGAAUAACCUUGCGAAAGUAAGACUAAUACCCUAUAAUUUCCUCAGAUGUCAUCUGGCGAGGAAUAAAGAUUUAUCGGUUGUGGAUGGGGAUGCGUCUGAUUAGCUUGUUGGCGGGGUAACGGCCCACCAAGGCAACGAUCAGUAGGGGUUCUGAGAGGAAGGUCCCCCACAUUGGAACUGAGACACGGUCCAAACUCCUACGGGAGGCAGCAGUGAGGAAUAUUGGUCAAUGGGCGGAAGCCUGAACCAGCCAAGUAGCGUGCAGGAUGACGGCCCUAUGGGUUGUAAACUGCUUUUAUACAGGAAUAAAGUUAGCCACGUGUGGUUAUUUGUAGGUACUGUAUGAAUAAGGACCGGCUAAUUCCGUGCCAGCCGCCGCGGUAA
rnacentral:rRNA from 1 species